AGAGUUUGAUCCUGGCUCAGAACGAACGUUGGCGGCGUGGAUUAGGCAUGCAGGUCGAACGAAUCCCACUGCUGUAGCAAUACAGCGGUGGGGGAAGUGGCGAAAGGGGCAGUAAGGCGUGGGUAACCUACCCCGGGGACGUGGAUAGCCGGCCUAACGGCCGGGUAAUACGCGGCGAGUCGAUGGCGGGGCAUCUCGCUAUCGGGAAAUGAAUUUCGCCUCGGGAGGGGCUCACGUGAUAUUAGCUUGUUGGCGGGGUAACGGCCCACCAAGGCGAAGAUGUCUAGCGGGUGUGAGAGCACGACCCGCGCCACUGGCACUGAGACACUGGCCAGACACCUACGGGUGGCUGCAGUCGAGGAUCUUCGGCAAUGGGCGCAAGCCUGACCGAGCGACGCCGCGUGUGCGAUGAAGGCCUUCGGGUUGUAAAGCACUGUCGAGGGGGAGAAAGCCCGCGAGGGUUGAUCGAUCCCUGGAGGAAGCACGGGCUAAGCUCGUGCCAGCAGCCGCGGUAAUAC
rnacentral:rRNA from 1 species